rnacentral:lncRNA from 1 species
AUCACCAUGGUAUCUUGUGCACAUGAACCCAUGUUUUGGUUUACACUCAUUCAUGACAAUAAGUUGUGUACGAGGUCUUCUGGAUAUGGUAAAUUGUGUACGAAGAUUAUGAGUAGGUCAACAAGGAAUUAAUCACUUCUAGUAAGAGAAGAUAGCAUCCUAUUUAUUCUAAUCAUAUGAUAAUUCAGGAAGCCUUUGAUCAAAGCAGAAUGAAAAUUAGAAAGAGUUUCUAAUAUUUUAUUAUUUGAAUUAUCAAUAAAAGAUUGAAAAAAUAUGAAUAUGAAAUUGAGUUUGACAUAUAUUCAUACUCAUAUACAUAUUUGGGAUGCAG